rnacentral:rRNA from 1 species
AACGAACGCUGGCGGCAUGCCUAACACAUGCAAGUCGAACGAGACCUUCGGGUCUAGUGGCGCACGGGUGCGUAACACGUGGGAAUCUGCCCUUUGCUUCGGAAUAACAGUUAGAAAUGACUGCUAAUACCGGAUGAUGUCGAAAGACCAAAGAUUUAUCGGCAAAGGAUGAGCCCGCGUAGGAUUAGGUAGUUGGUGGGGUAAAGGCCUACCAAGCCGUCGAUCCUUAGCUGGUCUGAGAGGAUGAUCAGCCACACUGGGACUGAGACACGGCCCAGACUCCUACGGGAGGCAGCAGUGGGGAAUAUUGGACGAGGGGCGAAGGCCUGAUCCAGCAAUGCCGCGUGAGUGAUGAAGGCCUUAGGGUUGUAAAGCUCUUUUACCAGGGAUGAUAAUGACAGUACCUGGAGAAUAAGCUCCGGCUAACUCCGUG